CAAUUUUAGGAUAAUCUAAAUCAAUUUCACCAUAAAUCCAAACAUCCAUUUAGAAAAAUUAAUUCUACACACAAUUAGAAUCAACCUCCUCACGGGAUCGACACUCGUCACCAUUAAUCUAUUCUACAAUAGAUUAGUGCACUUGUGAGUUCAAUAAAACUAGGCUCACCCACAAAUUGUCUGAUAUCAGGUAUAUGAUUCCAAUAUCCAGCCAUUUGAUGAUCUCCUUUUUCACAACUUUCUUCAUGAUAGGGUUCAGUCUCCUCUGUUGCUCUACUGAAUUGUUGUAAUAGUCGUCCAGUAGAAUUUUGUGCAUGCAUAUGGAUGGGUUGAUUCCUUUAAUGUCUGCCAUAGUCCAACCAAUUGCCUUCUUGUAUUUGCCCAGCACCUCUACCGAACUUCUUUCUUGAUAUGCAUUCAGAGAGGAUGAAAUGAUUAUAGGAAGUGUAUUAUUUUUUCCAAGAUAAACAUAUUUCAAAUGUGAAGGUAAAAGUUUCAAUUCUAAAAUAUGAGGUGAUUCAAUAGAUGAAACUGUUGAUUUUACUUCCCUGUUUGACAGAUCUAGUGAUUAAAAAUGUUUGUUAUGUCUUAUAGCUUGCUUUUCUCCUAACCAUGCCAUCUGUGUUGUUGUAACAUUCUCUUCUUCAAAACCUUCAAAAGUGGCAGCUUUGAUGUCUUCUCUGCUGCAGCACAUGUCUAUUCUUUCUGUCACAGCAAGGUCUACAACACUCAUAAAAUUGCUUUCUUCUACCUCAUCAGGACUUUUUAUAGCUUUUAACACAUUGAAGGUGACUUGUUGGUCAUUCACCCUCAUAGUUUUCCAUAUGGUUAUAAAGGGUCUUCCGAGUAUAAUUGGUACCUCUUUGUCUACCUCAAAGUCUAGUACAAUGAAGUCCACUGGGAAAAUGAAUUUGUCCACAUUUACCAGUAUAUCUUCAAUCUUGCCUUCAGGAUAUGCAUGAGAUCUGAGAUCUGUCAGGAAGUUGUAAAGUGACUGUUGUUGGUCUGCAUUCUCCAACUCCCAACUACUUGAAUACUGAUAAGGGCAUUAGAUUUAUACUUCCUGGAUCUUUUAGUUUUUGAGGUAUCUUACUCUGAAGUAUAUGGCUGCAUUCUUGUGUUAGGGUAACAAUUUCAAAUUCUCCCAGCCUUUUUUUUUUUUGCCAAGAUAUCCUUAAGAAAUUUCAUAUAAUUGGACAUUUGUUCUAAGGCUUCCACAAAAGGUAUGUUGAUGUGUAAUUGCUUCAAUACUUCUAAGAAUUUGUUGAACUGUUUGUCUUAUUUUUGUUUCUAGAAUCUUUGUGGGAAUGGAGGUGGGUGCCUAAAUUGCUGCACUACAACAAGAGGUACAUGUUGCUGCUCUUUUGGUCGAUUAAGGGUUGUUGCUACUGGUGUUGCAGCUUAUGCUUCAUCAAGUACUGAGUGAUUUCUUUUGGUGGUUGUUGUAGCCUGACUUCUUUCGCCAGUGCUUUGAUAACUAGUUUACUAUAACUCCUUUUCAACUUGAAGCUCUUCUUGGGAUGAAAUAGGUUCUAAAUUUUUUCUUGACAUACCAACAGGGAUAUCAACAUCCUUACCGGACCUUAAGUUGAUCACUUUCCCAAGCCUCAUACAAGCUUUCAUCUUCAAGUUGAUGAAAAUAGGUGAUUUCAUUCUGCAAUUUUGCAUUCUUGGUUGGUGGGAAGUGUUUCAUCAAAAAAUUAUCAGCCAAGUCAUUUCAUGUUGUGAUGGAAUCCGGUGGUAAAGAGUUCAACCAUGCUCUUCCAUGCUCUUGCUCGAUCUCUCAAGGAGUAAGGAAAAAGUCUAAGUCUCAAUGCGUCCUAUGAUGCUCCAGUAAUUUUAAAAGCAUCACUCACCUCAAAAAAUAGCUUAAGAUGGAGAUGAGGAUCUUCAGACGGCAGUCCAUUAAAUUGCCCCACUAUUUGCAACAUUUGAAAUAUCACUAGUUUGAGUUCAAAGUUGGCAGCUUCCACUUUAGGUUUGACUAUUUCAGGGUGUACAACUUAAGGAGUCAACACAACAUAAUCCCUAAUGGCUCGGUCUCUGUCAUCUGUCAUGUAAAUAAUAUUGUUGUUCCUUGGUUGUAUCUGAUCAAUUUGCCUAUUUUGACCUUCUUGAACAUUGAUAGGUUGUACUGGUCUGUGAGGGUCUAAGUUUCCCAAUUCUUGCAAAUUAUCGAUCGCUACAGCAGCUUUUGAAUUUCUUUGCUCUCUUCUCAAUCUCUUUGCAGUCCUUUCAAUCUCUGGAUCAAAUUGAAAUUCAACAAGUCUGUAUUUGCACAUGCAAGAGUGAUCUGUCAAUCAAGUAAAUAAUCAAAAUAAAUUCAAAGAUUGGUACUGUCAAAAUUAGCAUCACAACUCGAAGAUAAACAAUCAAUCCCCGACAACGGCACCAAAACGUUGUUGUGAGAAUUCUAAUGUUGUUGGUGUCAACGUGCAAGUGUACACAACAAAUAAUAUAAUAAUGAGCAUUCAAGAUCGUCUCCACAGGGAUUGAUGUUAUCGGACAUGCUACAGAAAUAUUAACAGUGCAAAUUGUUUUCUAAAUUAAAUACAAAACAAGUAAUAAAACUAAUAAAUUAAUUGAAAUAAAGUGCAAUAAAUAAAAAUACAAAUAAAUAAAGCCUCACGUCACACACAAGGAUAAAACCAAUGGGAAUAUGGAGUAGUUGAGUGAAUAAACUCUUUUAAUGGUUUUGACUAUUUUCUAAUGUUUGGUUCGGUUGCUACAGCACUAGCCAAAAUCCUUAUGUACCCUCAAUUGUCGCAUGUUAGAUAUAUUAUAUCUAUAUGCAACCUAACAGUGAUCAAUUUUUAUACUAACAUAAGAUAUAACAUUACACGCUUAGGUUCUAAUUACCCUACGAGGUGAAUCCCUAUAUCUAGUUCAUCACUAACCUUAGAUCAAGCAGGGCCCUUUUGGACUCAAGUAAAACGCAAUCCAGGAAACCCAAUCUAAAACCAAGUAUUGCUCUGAUAUGUUCCAUUAAGAUAGGCCCUUUAUUGCUCUUCCUUAGCUAGUAUCAUUACAUGGGUGAUCAGCCGAAAUAAUGAAUAAACAUAGAUACUGUCAAACAAAAUGUUACAACAAAUAUGCAGCAACAUAUAUAUUCAGUCAAUAAACCAUCAAUGUUGUUUAUCACUCAACCACAAAUAAAUUUAGUUCAUGGUUUACAAAAGAAAAAUAAAGAACAAAGUUUCAGCCAUCAAACACAUCCCCUUAAACAAAAAGUAAACAAGAAAACAAGAGAAUAAUAAAAAGGACUGAGUUCCCGAUUUAUUUCUGCAAUUUCUCCUCUUGUGUAGCCCUCAAUAUCUCUCUUGAAUCCUCUUUUUCUUUUGUUUCUUGGUGGUUUUUUUUCUUUGGGUGACGGCUCUCCUUUUUUUAUGAUGUGUUCUGUAACAUCCCAAAUCUAACAUGUGCGGAGUAUGUGAAAAAGGAAGUUACUUACAAAUUGUAAUCCUUACUCAUGAAUUCCAAACUGAAAUACCUCAAAUUCUUAUUCAAAUAAAUCCACAAAUUCAUACGUCUAACACUAGAUAAUCACUCCCGAAACAUAACAUAAAAUAACAAAAGUCUUAGAACUCUAAAUUACAAGUUCCUAACAAAAAUAAACUAAAAAGAAACAUGAGUCCAUUCCUCCUCCUAUUCAAAUAGCAAAAGGAAACAAAAUCUCUAACUCCAAAGCAAAGCACACCUUUCAAAAGGAACUUAUUCUCUAAAAAAAAGUAAUGACGAGGGGUAAGCCGUCAACUCGAUAAGUAAAACCAUUCCUAACACACUAGUUGUACCAAUACCAAAAAUAUUGUAAGCCUUCUUUAAUUUAAAACAUAUGUUACAAUUCAUAAAUUUCAUAAAACAACAUAUUUCAAUAAGAUGACAUAAAUUCAUGGUAAUUCAAAAUAUCAAAAGAAUAAUCAAUUAUGAAAGCAAAUCACAUAACGCAUACACAGCUCAUGUCAUAUAGUGUCACCUAUACUCCCGGUAACCCGACCAGAAACAGAAUCAAAAUAUCGUGUGUACACUCAGAACAUAAACCCAGUACUGGUCCAGAACAUAUAUAUCGUAUAAUACGAUCAGAAUCAGAAUCAGAAGAACUACGGACAAUGAGCCAAAACAUUCAAAUUAGUUUUUCAUAUGUAAUGACUUGUACGUGGCACUUUGCACUAUAUAUGGUAAUUUACGGCGCUUUGGCUCUCAAGAGGUGGCCCCCGUACAAUCAUAAAUAAUUGAAGUCAUACAUAAGCACAAAACAUUCAUAUCAGAUUCAUAAAAGUCUAUAACAAAAAAUUAGGCUUGCAAAAUAUUUUAUCGAUAGAAUCAUAAAAGGUAGUCAUGUCAUAAAAUAUUUUACAUAUUUAAAAGCAUUUACAAAAUAUUUUACUAAAAGAAUGUAGAUUUGAAAACAUUUAUAUAAACUAAUCUUGUUAUGAAAAGCAAUUGAUUUGUUAAAUAAACCAUAAAAACACAUGUACAUAUAUUAGUAUCAAAAUAAUCAUACUUAUCAAGUACAUUAGGAAUGAAGUUACUUACCUCGACAAAAGGAUUUGAACUAACAAACCUCUAAACCUCUAAAAGCCUAAAUCACCUCCAACACCUUAACAAAUAUAAGAUAUAACUAUCAAUAACUUAUCCUAAGAAUCUGAUUUUCUAAUUCAUACCCGUACUAGUUUGAUUCUCAGAAUUUUAACUCUUAAUCUAAAACUCAAUAUGACAUAAUAUUCUAUGGAACCAUUCUGGACAUCCAUGGGUACCUCAUAUAAAAUUUUCAAGAGGAUCUGAUACAAAACAAUUUCAAGACUAUUUAUUACUUGACAAAUUCGAAACUGCUUCACAGUACCUUAAUCGAACAGAACGUGUUCUUAGAUUUUUAUAAAAUCAGAUACUAGUUAGAAAAUUAUGAAAUUAAAUAUGGUAAUACAAGACACAUGUAUCAACGUCUAUAUAAAAUUUCAAAAUGUUUCGAGUUCAUUUCGUAGUACAAAUAAGUUUGGGAAUCCGAUCGCCUUGCUGGAAUCAUAGUUUUCCAGUGUUGUCAGUUUCAAAAAUCCAUAUAAAAUUGAAAACAAAGUCAACUCUUAUGAAACAAAAUUUAAUCAAUAAGCCUUACAUGUCUAGUUUUCAGAAAUAUAACGUUCUUAAGAAAAUUUGUUCAUAAAAUAUACGUUUGAAUUCGAGAUACUCAUAUUGUCCAGAAUUUGUCCAGUGUGCUUAAUGCACCAAGGGUUGAUUAAUAAAACCCACAAUAAAUCAUAACCCUAAACAGAACAUAAACACACAUUAAAUCAUGUAUUAUGAUCUGUAACAAUCUAAAAUCAUGCUAAUAUAAACCCUAGAUAGAGUGAUUGGAAAUCUUGCGGAGAAUAAGGAGAAUAAACUUACCAAUCGCUUUAAUUCUCUCCUAAACAAAUAUCUUAAUUCCUA
rnacentral:lncRNA from 1 species